AGAGCAGCGCGCGGGGCAGACCUCCUCGGGUCCUCCGGCGCUUCGGUCUCCGGAGACGCCCGGCCUCCUGAAGGGUUCGGCUUGUCCUCCUCUGGCGCUCAGCUCCCUCUGGCGGCCGGGCUGGCAGGACCUCAGCGCCCAGCCCUUCCGUCUUGUUACGUCCAGGGUCUCACUCUGUGUCUCAGGCUGGAGUACAGUGGUGCAAUUGUAGAUGGCUGCAGCCCUCGACCUCCUGGGCUCAAGUGAUCCUCCUGCCUUAGCCUCUCGAGUAGCUGGGAGUACAGAUGCACACCACCACACCCAGCCUAGAAUGAAGAAACCUGCAGUUGGGAAGCAUGAAUUUACCACCUAUUAAGAAUUGUGGCUUGCAUUGUAAGAGGAGCCUGUGAAUUCAGAGGCAAGUCUGCUGAGGACCGAAUGUUCCUGUCCAUAAAAACAGAAGUCUGGCCUGGGCUCCUCUCUUGGGUGAAUUUGCAAUGCCAGAUCCUCUCUAUCAGUUUGGUUUUGUUUCUUGUAUCUCUGGGAAGGCAGGCAGACAGCACGGUCACCUGUGAAUGCAGCUACAAUUGGCUUAGCUGCCUCACUGAUAAAUGUGCCCCCAGUAAGCUACAAAGGGAUUACCAGCGUUCUCAGCAGCUAAAGGAACUGGUGAAGAUUUCCCCAGCAAAAAGUAGAAGCUCAGUGUUUCAUAGAUGAAGACUGGGGAGAUUGCAAAAGACCCAUCCAGAGUCUCACUUUGUCGCCCAGGCUGGAGUACAGUGGUGCGAUCUUGGCUCUCUGCAACCUCUGCCUCCCAGGUUCAAGUAAUUCUCCUGCCUCAGCCUCCCGAGUAGCUGGUACUACAGGCACACAUUUGUAGAGAUGGUGUUUCCCCAUGUCAUCCAGGCUGGUCUGGAACUCCUGGGAUCAAGUAAUCCACCCGCCUCGGCCUCCCAAAGUGCUGGGAUUACAGACGUGAGCCACCACGCCCUGCCAAUAAAAAGAUUAUCUCCAGAUGCUGGAAUGACCAGUAAUUUAUUUUCUUCCUUUUUUUUUGUCUGCACUUUCUACCAUAAUCAUAUGUUAGCUUCUUACUAAGAAGAAAAGUCAAUGUUAUUUCCCUGAAAAAGUAAUGUUGUUUGGUUAUUAAACAAAUUUAAUUUUCUAAACAAGAGUACGACAGGUAAACUGCCUACCUUAAAAGCAAACGAACACAAAUAAAUAAACUAACCAUCUUCCACUUCAGUCUCUGUCCUUUCACCAGAGUUGCUGAUCAGCCCAGAAUGGACUGAUUUGAAUUUGCUUAGUUGUUCAUUCAUUCAUUUAUUUAACAAGUAUUUAUUAAGCACUUGCUCUGUAGAAAGCACUGUGCUGGUAUUGGAAUACUGGCUUAUGUAAGUGUGAUAGUAAUGGGAUUCUGACUUAGGCCUGACUCCUGGGCCGUAAUGUUUGGAUACUAUGUAUACAUCUAACUAUAAAACGAG
rnacentral:lncRNA from 1 species